rnacentral:rRNA from 1 species
UACGUAGGGGGCAAGCGUUGUCCGGAUUUAUUGGGCGUAAAGAGCGUGUAGGCGGCUUUACAGGUCCGUUGUGAAAACUGGAGGCUCAACCUCCAGACGUCGACCGAAACCAUCUGGCUAGAGUCCGGAAGAGGAGAGUGGAAUUCCUGGUGUAGCGGUGAAAUGCGCAGAUAUCAGGAAGAACACCCGUGGCGAAGGCGGCUCUCUGGGACGGUACUGACGCUGAGACGCGAAAGCGUGGGGAGCGAACAGG